UCAAAUGAAUCAAGGGCAAUGGAAGUAGGCAAACAAACUGUCUUUGUUCUUGCCACAUGCUGAAAGGAGGUGGAGGUGGCCAUUUUGUGAGACUGUCCUUGCACACCCUCCAUUUUGUGAACUCUUCGAUUCUAGCUCUGGGAUUAUCUAAUCAGAGCAAUUGAAUGUGGACGUAAGGAGUUUCAGCUAACAACCGGCUAACCCGGGACCAUUCUCAGACAAGCAGCUAUUUAUAAUGUAAAGUGGCAGACUUGGAGAAGAAAUCUACAACCUCAUUAGGCUCAGUGCCUGGGUCAGCUACCUUAACUGGUUUGAACCAAGCCGAGUUGAAAAAAACAAAGGCACGGAUCUGGGGGCAAAGACCAUUGAACAAUGCUGGCUGGAGCCCUGGACCAGAGCCAUUAAGAAGGUGACCCAGGUCAAUUGGUGGCCACUGGGAGGUCCUGUUUUUCUCUGGUGGAUGGACUGUAGGUGCUCGUUGAAGCGGUCUCCCAAACUGGGCCGGGUCUCUCCGAUAUACAGGAAGCCACACCAGGAGCACCAGAUACAACAGAUGACCCCAACAGACUCACAGAGGCGUGCGUACCUUCAUCAGCCAGGGUUUCAAGGUGUGGUCCAGCAGGAUGUCAAAGCCGAGGAGUUGAAAGCAAGCACUCCCAGACACGUGAUUUCGGAAGCAGGUGAAAUCCAUGGUUCUUGCUGGACACGAAAUACCAGAUUGGGAUGAUCCCAACCAGCGGGACAUCCUGAGAGAUAAUCCAGUCCAGGUACAUUCCCCGUGGCAAGGGACGUAUAAUUGACUCCUGCUCAUUAUUGUCAUUAUUUAUUGAUCAUUAAUAAUGACUCCUGUCUGCAGAUUUGAAUGAGAGAGUGUUUAGCAUUGUCUUUCCACUCACUUUUAUCUAUUUUUUCAGUCACGGUCCAGUCAGUUGAUUCCUCAUUUCUGUUCAUUUCCUUUUCCCCGUGUUUUACCUGGCUCCUUGACUAAGGCACCUGAUUCUCAUCUGAACUGGAAACAUAAUAACUCCGGCUUACAUCUACUUGGGACUGGACCGUCACCUCAGCCAGUGCGGCAAAGCACGUUCCGGGCCGCUGAGAAUAGUGGACUCUAAGUUGCCUCGGUGCCUGGGGUUGCUUUGGGAAUUCUGUCGUCUCGUGUCCAGCUGAGUGUUGCUGUUUGCCGCUAUUUCGAGUCAAGAUACGAACAGACUGUCGUUGUUUGGUUUUGUAGUUUCGUGUCCUGCUGAGUAUUGCUGGCCGUUUACUGCUACUCCGAAUCAAGAUACAAAUUGUCUGUCGUUGUUUGGUUUUGUUGUUCUGUGUCCAAGUCCAGGCUCCGUGUCCAAGUCCGGGCUCCGUAUCCGAGUCCGAGUCCGAGUCCAAGUCCGGGCGCCGUGUCCCAGUCCGAGUCUGAGUCCGAGUCCAGGCUCCGUGUCCAAGCUCCAUAACCAAGCUCUGGGUCUGGGCUACUCCAGUUUGUUGGCCAUGUAAGCAUCUAAUCCUCACUCUCUGGCCUUCCUCGCAACUAUUAAUAAACACACUUC